GGGGGUGAGCAGCUGCUCUGCUGAGGCCUCCUGCUUUCAGCCAGCUACCUUUCCCUCUGCCUCAUUUUCAUAAACGCUGGGCAAGGUGCACAGGACUCACCAUUACACUGGUAAGGAGGAAGUGAUCAGUCUCAGGCCCGGCAGCAGGGGUCCUACAUUUUCUCCUAUCUGGAGAUCUAUUUUUAUGAUCUAUAUCUAUGCCUAUGACCACUGCUGAAAUGCCCUCUCUUGGCACUUCUCCCUGCUACCAGUCUUUACUGUUGUCAAAGGCGUGCAGCUGAAUGAAGCAUGAGCCUAAGCCUUGACAUCUUUUCUAUCAGAGAGGAAAACUGGCAAUAGCACCAGCUGCACAAAGCUAGAGCUCCUUCACUGCUUUUUGGAAGCUUAUCCCACUGUUCUGGAAACAACAGGAAACAAGUUUUCCACUUUGGGAACUGUAUGCAGCUGCAUUCUUGCUUGUGGGACCACUGCCAGGCUCCAGCCUGUGCUGAUACUUAGUGCAGUUUGCCUGCUAAAAAUCAUACAGGAGCCUGUUGCUGACCAUAGAAAGCUCUCCCAUGGAUACUGCUGUCAAGGAGCUGCUCUAAUGAUCCCCUCUGCACCGAAGCCAACUCACAAGAUUGUGCUGGGUAAGUGGAUGGUGAGAGGCAGUGCAGUAUGGCAUGUGACAUAAACAGCAUGUCCCACGCAAUGUGCAACUUCACAGAAAUGUGAUUACUUGAUCUGGCCAGAUCUGAGUUUGAUUCAGAACCAAAAAGUAAUCCAGCAACAUUCACAUCCUGUACUAAUGUUAAUAAUGGAGUGACAAAAAAAUGUGUAAUACUGUUUUCUUUUCCCUUUUCCGUCAAAUUUAUGAAAUACCUUUUAUUACUUCACAAGAACUUAAUGAACUUUUAACCCUUAAUUACAGUAAAUUAUGGUCAUUCAGCCACAAUUAAAGUAAGAAAGCCACUUUGCUUUUCUGCAUCUGAUUUAAUCCAUUUUAAGGCACAGCAUUUUAAAGCAUAGCAUUGACUAGACUUAUGAGCGAUCUCUUCACGUAAGGCCACUCUAAAAGGUGCUUGUAGAAAAAGCGAAGUGCUGUUAUCAUUCCUUGCAAUUAUUGUAUUUUAAGUGAAGGAUCUCAGGAGCUGUGUGUGCUAUCACAGAUACGUCCGUGAAAGCGUGAUUACUUAAUGCAUACUGCCACAGAGGGAUUCCUCCCAUUAUUGCAGAGGAUGCAGACGUGCGAGUGCAGUGAAAGAAUGACUCUGGCACGGAAAGGGAACGGGCAUGGCUUGGGCAGUAAGCCUCAGU
rnacentral:lncRNA from 1 species